rnacentral:lncRNA from 1 species
CAUAUGAGCUGGGCAAUGGGGAGCCACUGGAAGAUUUAUACAGGCAUCACACUUUCCCUGGAUGCUGCGUAGGAAGAAAUUGAAGCCUUCCACAAGUGGAACCAGCUCUCAGCUCCUUUCAGGAAGCAACUAAAUCAGAAAACAGUGUUCUCUCUUCCUUGGAGCUGGCACAGGUUUUGAUAACAUCGAUUGAAUGCCAAGCGCUCCAAUUUGAAGACUGCAAGAAUCUAUCGAUAGAGACAAGAACAGGUCUCAACCACAAGAAGCUGCAGCAAUAUGAAGGAAGGAUAGAUGGGCAAGGAGAAAAAGGGCAGAAAUGGAAGAGAGAAGGGGCUUUUGAAUGUCAGUUCAAAGUGGGUUAUGUUCAGAAUAAAAUAUGACCUAAUCAGAAUGGAGAAGAAGCAUCUGGACUCUCUGAACCCCAGCCACUGAGGAAUAGGGGCCUCUUUCUGUUAAUGCACCCUUUCCAAUGUGAUAAGGCAUCAAAAC